rnacentral:lncRNA from 1 species
CUCACAUCAGAAUAAACCUGAGUGUUUUGAGUAGCUUUCUAUCCACACAGAGCAUCCCCAUUAGAGCUGGGUUUUAUUGUUUGAAAUGCCUCUGGUUUCAGGAAAGUGUUUUACCUAAAGCAAGACUACUACUUAAAUAUGUUCUAUUGUAUAUUCAUAGCUCCAUUAGUCCUUCUCCAAUUUAGCACAUCAAAGGGAAGACUUCAUCACUUGCAUGUGGAUUAUACUAACAUGAGUGACAUUUGUAAUCUUAUAGGUCUGCAACUUAAGAAAUGCUUUUAGAAGCUCGUUAUUAAAUACGCAGCAGUGCUUGAGGAACCAGCCAUAUAAUAGUUCAUUUAAAGUCUUUAAUGACCUUAGCCCUCCACAUCACUAAAUGCCACUCUGCAUUACUUACUAAAAGUUAUUAACUAUCUCCUUUGAAUUUCUACACUAUGUGGGACAUGAGUGCUUAUGCCAAAAAUAUAGAUGCUUGCAUUCUUAUUAACGCAUUUCUUCUUUUCUAUUCUGAAGAGUCCAUGUUCCUUUAAAGUAUCUUAAAGGAAAAAAAUGUAACUAGAACUAGUUCCUAGAAAUUCCCCAAGGAUCUAACUCUAACAGAUAUUAUUUAUAUGAUUUCAUUUUUUUCCUUGCAUUUUCUUUUUAUAAAGCUCUAACAAAAUGAUUCACUUUAACUCUCCACUUUUAAGUUCUCUUACAGGAGGUCUGCAGCUCGAGCAACUGAUUCUUCCUCCCGGCCUGGAAUCUUUCAAAGCAGAAGAUCCCAAAGCAAGCUGACCGCUAGCUGAGAUGUGCCGAGCUAGAGCCCUCUACAGAACCUAUUCCUAUUCUCAAAGAGAGGAUCUGUACUGGGAGCUUUUCUGGAGCAAGAGAAAAUAAAACAAAUGCCAUUUUUAGAAAGAAAAUUAAAAGCAGCAUUGGAAACACACCUGGUUUUAUUAACCUGUGGUAGAAGCUGUAGUUGAGAUCCACUCAGAUAACAAGCCUGGCAAACCAGCCACUACUGGGGAUACUCUGCUGCUGCCCAGAACUAGCAACUAAAUUCUCUCAAGACUACUACAAAAUAAAAUCCAAAUCUUCCCCAAACAUACGGAAAGGCAGAGUCAGGGAAGGAGUGUGAGAGCAAAAGAAAAUAAACAAAUCACACAGCAGACCACAUGAGUCUGAAAGCUCACCAGGAAACGGCUGCUUCACCCCUGGCAGAUGCCUGUAAAGAGCUCCGGGUCCCUGACAACUAAGGGGACUUCAAAAUAGCUACAGGUAUGGUUUAGAAAUGCUGUUUCCUUCAAAAGCUAUCAACCUGGUGAGACGACAAGAUGGUUACGCUACAUUCUUUAACAUGCUUCUCACCAAUACCCAAGGCUUUCCUAUUGAAAAAAGAAAAAAA